rnacentral:rRNA from 1 species
GACGAACGCUGGCGGCGUGCUUAACACAUGCAAGUCGAACGGUAAGGCCCCAGCUUGCUGGGGUACACGAGUGGCGAACGGGUGAGUAACACGUGGGUGACCUGCCCCGCACUUCGGGAUAAGCCUGGGAAACUGGGUCUAAUACCGGAUAGGACCGCACCGUGAGGGUGUGGUGGAAAGUUUUUCGGUGUGGGAUGGGCCCGCGGCCUAUCAGCUUGUUGGUGGGGUAAUGGCCUACCAAGGCGGCGACGGGUAGCCGGCCUGAGAGGGUGGACGGCCACAUUGGGACUGAGACACGGCCCAGACUCCUACGGGAGGCAGCAGUGGGGAAUAUUGCACAAUGGGCGGAAGCCUGAUGCAGCGACGCCGCGUGGGGGAUGACGGCCUUCGGGUUGUAAACUCCUUUCACCAUCGACGAAGGUUUUCCGACGGUAGAUGGAGAAGAAGCACCGGCUAACUACGUG